UACGUAGGGCGCAAGCGUUGUCCGGAAUUAUUGGGCGUAAAGAGCUCGUAGGUGGUGUGUCGCGUCUGCCGUGAAAGUCCGGGGCUCAACUCCGGAUCUGCGGUGGGUACGGGCAGACUAGAGUGAUGUAGGGGAGACUGGAAUUCCUGGUGUAGCGGUGAAAUGCGCAGAUAUCAGGAGGACACCGAUGGCGAAGGCAGGUCUCUGGGCAUUAACUGACGCUGAGGAGCGAAAGCAUGGGGAGCAAACGGG
rnacentral:rRNA from 1 species